UCAUAAGAUCACCCAACUAUGGAUUCCAUUUGGAACUGCGUGUACAUGCAUGACUGAGUUAGCUGUGGACAUGAUCACAUGCCUUCCAUACAUCUCUGAUUAUAGAAGACAUUUUUUGCCCUCCAUUUCCUAUAUUUACUCUUCCAGCAGACAGGGACAUGGAAAAAUCCGUGACCUAGCACUGACCCAGCAGAUAAGACUAACCACCAUAAGUACAGUUUUUGAAAGAAAAUGAUGUAGUUAAGGCUAAAGCUUUAACAUGGAGUCAAGCGUUUGUAAGAACAUUGCACUCACACCUGCUAAAGGUCAAGCCACAGGAUGUUGCUGUAGACCUGGAUAACAACGGACUGAAGUCAAGGAGUUCAUGAUGAUCACCAUUCUACAGAUGAGGAAACUGAGGCUGGGAGAAAUGAAGGCACUGUCUCCUUGUCCUCCAUGUGUCCCAGUGGGCACCUUCUGUGUCCCACCAAGCAUUCAUGUCCAUUAACAGAGCAAGUGCCCUGAAUUCUUGAGCCCCAACACUGACUGCACACCCUAUUGUCCCUUCGAGAUUCUUGACUUCAUGCAAUUCAAGGGAGAAGCCUCCCUCCUGGGUGCCCAGGCCCAGAUACACUGUGGCCAGAAACAAAACACUGUGGGCUCCUGUCAGCCUGAGGGGAGCAUGGAAACUUGCUCCUAUGGGCCCCACGCACCCCGUAGGAAAUACCUCAUCUCCUCAUCCUUAGUCCUCAGCACCAAGAAGAGGUGGGCACGUGCUCCGCUGAGCUGCAGGAGGCCCAACUCUGCUCCAUAGAUGCUGCUGAGUGAAGGAGAAACAGCACAACAUUGGGGGAGAGUCCUAAAUGCUUCAUGUGUGCUGAGACCUGUCUUUUAGGAACAGGCUUGACAUAUAGUGAACCAUCUGCAGAACCUUUCUAAUGAGAGGGUAAAGCGAGCCCCUCCUACCCCUACAGGACUUUUUUUCAUUUUUUUGGUUUUGUUUUAUUUUGUUUUUGAUGGAGUUUCGCUCUUGUUGCCCAGGCUGGAGUGCAAUGGUGCAAUCUCGGCUCACCGCAACCUCCGCCUUCCAGUUUCAAACGAUUCUCCUGCCUCAGCCUCCCGAGUAGCUGGGAUUACAGGCAUGCGCCACCAUGCGUGGCUGCUUUUUUAUUUUUAGUAAAGGUGGGGUUUCUCCAUGUUGGUUAGGCUGGUAUUGAACUCCUGACCUCAGGUGAUCCACCCACCUCGGCCUCCCAAAGUGCUGGGAUUACAGGCAUGAGCCACUGCACCCAGCCUCAGUUUCGUUUUUAAUGCUUUUCGCUAUAGAACUGAACAAUGCCACAGUCCGGAAAGAGAAGGUUGGAGCAUUUCUCUACCCUUGGAAAACCACAUCUGAGUGAGUGUUGCAGAGACAGGGGCUGUAAGUCAGGCUGGUGGGGAGGAAAUCUUGGCUCCCUGACCUGCUCACCACUCAGAUCUCCUCUCUGAGCCUCAGUGUCCUCAUCUUUAAAGAGGCAACAAAUGGCUCCGCCCUCAUAGCACUGGUUAUAAGCAGACUUUGGCACAACUGCCACUCCAUGGCCCCCUUCCCUGCCUCCCUCCUUUCUCAUCCAGGUCAUCAUUUAGGCUGAGAGCAUGGCAAAGAGGGGUGAGCACCCUACUAGGAGUUAGCAGAUCUGAGUCACACCUGAGCUACUUUCUGGCUGUGAUUGCCUGGGCUGGGGAGGCACCAUCUGGAAACUUCGGUGUCUUUGCCUAUAUUAUCUGAUCAGGGUAAAUCCACUUCCACAUCUAUGUUCAAGGGUGGUGGGGAGCCCUGUUGCUAUGUCAUGUAGGAGGGAAAUUAGAUAAUAUUCUCAUAUAUGAAAAUACACACACCCUCUAACUUAGCAAUGUCACUUCCAGUGGGUGUCUCCCACCUGAGGAGGGUGAUACAUGUACAAGGCCAUCCACUGCAGGAUUGUUAGUAGCUCAAGUUUGGGAACAACUUACAUACCCAUCAACAGAAUGCUGUGAAAUAAAUUUUGAUAUUUCCAUAAAUUGGAGUAUUCUGCAGCUGCUAAAGAGUGGAGCAGUUCUAUGUCCUGACGUGGAAUCUCGAUAUGGAAUGUUAGGGCUUAUGUUUGGAAGAAGUUUUCCAAUCACCAAUGGGCUUUAGUGUCUGAAUGUGAGGUGCAUUCUGAACCUUUGGGAAAUGGAUGAAAAAAGAAAUCCUGGCUCCCUGAUCCAUGGUUCUGUUUGAGGAGCUUUUAUUUAGUACCUGUGAUGCACCAGGUUCUUCUAUGAAGACAGUGUCUAACAAACACUGGGGAAGGAAGGAGCCUGCCUCUAUUCGGACCUUGACUCUGGCUUUGAUUCCAUCAAUAACUGGCCAUGUGACUGUGGACAAGGCCCCUACAAUCUCUUGGCUUAAGUCCCCUGUCUGUAAAGGGGAGUUGGGCUGAAAGUCUGAAGAUCUUUCCCGUGCUGAAAUUCCAGGAUUCUGGAGGUAGGAUGAGGAUUCUGGGCCUCUGGCUGGAAACCCCAAAUAAGUUUUAUUGCUGCUUUAAAUUGGUCACCCCUGAGCCACCGAUAUGUAUGACCUCUUCCCUGAGGUGAAGGAUAUUCUGAGAUGACCCAGCUCUGCUCAGAGCCCACAGUGACUGUAUGACUCAGUCCUUAAAUCACACAAGGCUUCAAAUAGACCCACAGCAAAUGCGAGACUUAUUGGCAUCUCCUCCCACCAGGCCAUCAGACUAAACAGUGAAUCUGUGCCUCCCAGGAAUCUUCCCUGUGUGAUGUUUCUGAAGAUUAAAUAAAGAAAAACAGGAUUUACACUUUC
rnacentral:antisense_RNA from 1 species